GACGUAGGGCGCGAGCGUUGUCCGGAUUUAUUGGGCGUAAAGAGCUCGUAGGCGGUUUGUCGCGUCGUCCGUGAAAACUCACAGCUUAACUGUGAGCUUGCGGUCGAUACGGGCAGGCUAGAGUUCGGUAGGGGAGACUGGAAUUCCUGGUGUAGCAGUGAAAUGCGUAGAUAUCAAGUGGAACACCAGUGGCGAAGGCGAGUCUCUGGACAUUUCCUGACGCUGAGGCACGAAAGCCAGGGGAGCAAACGGG
rnacentral:rRNA from 1 species